rnacentral:lncRNA from 1 species
GUGAGUCGUUGGAAACUGCACAGGCCCCAACGAAGCGUGCCAUGACGACGUACAAAGCAAGGGUCUGGGUGAUGCUACAUGGGCCACAGCAAGAGGAUACUACAACACAUUGUCGAGGCCUGUAUAGAACGGCUCAUUAUCACAAGGACACACAGGGCGCAGGUUUCGUGCCCAUGUACCAUAUGAGGAGCCUCCUGUGCAUUAUGCCAACACAUGAUCACCCGCGUUGGUACAAGCACCCUAGGCGGCCACAAGGGUCCCCAAGUGGCACAAGCAUCCAGAUGUGUAAGAAAUCGCCACGGCGCAGCCCAGGACACUUUCCACAUCUCUUGUCCUUAACUCCCCUUUAGGGGAUGGGGAAAAAAACAAAGGGGAUGGCCCCCCAACGCAGCGUUUGUGCCCACACCGUACCCCCAAAUCCGACUAACCGAUGUUCCAGGUAGUGGGGAUCUGGCAGAGGUUCAAGUCCAAACCAUUUAAUUCAACGUCCGUGACGGCACUGUUCGUGCAGGUGACGCCAGAGAAGCUGCAGGCGUCAGAGCCUGCAACCC